rnacentral:rRNA from 1 species
GGCGUGCUUAACACAUGCAAGUCGAACGGUGAACACGGAGCUUGCUCUGUGGGAUCAGUGGCGAACGGGUGAGUAACACGUGAGCAACCUGCCCCUGACUCUGGGAUAAGCGCUGGAAACGGCGUCUAAUACUGGAUACGAGUAGUCGACCGCAUGGUCAGUUACUGGAAAGAUUUAUUGGUUGGGGAUGGGCUCGCGGCCUAUCACCUUGUUGGUGAGGUAAUGGCUCACCAAGGCGUCGACGGGUAGACCGGCCUGAGAGGGUGACCGGCCACACUGGGACUGAGACACGGCCCAGACUCCUACGGGAGGCAGCAGUGGGGAAUAUUGCACAAUGGGCGCAAGCCUGAUGCAGCAACGCCGCGUGAGGGAUGACGGCCUUCGGGUUGUAAACCUCUUUUAGCAGGGAAGAAGCGAAAGUGACGGUACCUGCAGAAAAAGCGCCGGCUAACUACGUGCCAGCAGCCGCGGUAAUACGUA